rnacentral:rRNA from 1 species
UACAGAGGUCCCAAGCGUUGUUCGGAUUCACUGGGCGUAAAGGGUGCGUAGGUGGUCGGGUAAGUCUGAUGUGAAAUCUCCGAGCUUAACUCGGAAACUGCAUCGGAUACUAUUCGGCUCGAGGGUUGGAGGGGGGACUGGAAUGCUUGGUGUAGCAGUGAAAUGCGUAGAUAUCAAGCGGAACACCAGUGGCGAAGGCGGCUCUCUGGACCGUAACUGACGCUGAGGCACGAAAGCGUGGGGAGCAAACAGG